rnacentral:rRNA from 1 species
GCUGCGGCAGCGACACUAUGUGUUGUUGGGUAGGGGAGCGUUCUGUAAGCCUGUGAAGGUGGCCUGUGAGGGUUGCUGGAGGUAUCAGAAGUGCGAAUGCUGACAUAAGUAACGAUAAAGCGGGUGAAAAGCCCGCUCGCCGGAAGACCAAGGGUUCCUGUCCAACGUUAAUCGGGGCAGGGUGAGUCGACCCCUAAGGCGAGGCCGAAAGGCGUAGUCGAUGGGAAACAGGUUAAUAUUCCUGUACUUGGUGUUACUGCGAAGGGGGGACGGAGAAGGCUAUGUUGGCCGGGCGACGGUUGUCCCGGUUUAAGCGUGUAGGCUGGUUUUCCAGGCAAAUCCGGAAAACCAAGGCUGAGGCGUGAUGACGAGGCACUACGGUGCUGAAGCGACAAAUGCCCUGCUUCCAGGAAAAGCCUCUAAGCAUCAGGUAACAUCAAAUCGUACCCCAAACCGACACAGGUGGUCAGGUAGAGAAUACCAAGGCGCUUGAGAGAACUCGGGUGAAGGAACUAGGCAAAAUGGUGCCGUAACUUCGGGAGAAGGCACGCUGAUAUGUAGGUGAAGCGACUUGCUCGUGGAGCUGAAAUCAGUCGAAGAUACCAGCUGGCUGCAACUGUUUAUUAA